GACUCGCUAGCUCAGUUGGUAGAGCAUUUGACUUUUAAUCAAAGGGUCCGGGGUUCGAAUCCCCGGCGGGUCACCA
rnacentral:tRNA from 1 species